rnacentral:ncRNA from 2 species
CACGUUUUUGGCGCCGAUUUGCUUGAUCUGCUUGCGGGCGCCUGAUAAAUCCCGCUAAAGAGGUCCGUCGUGACUCCUG